UACGUAGGGUGCGAGCGUUGUCCGGAUUUAUUGGGCGUAAAGAGCUCGUAGGUGGUUCGGUAAGUCGGAUGUGAAAUCUCCAGGCUCAACCUGGAGGGGUCAUUCGAUACUGCCGUGACUAGAGUUCGGUAGAGGAGUGUGGAAUUCCUGGUGGGAGCGGUGAAAUGCGCAGAGAUCAGGAGGAACACCCGUAGCGAAGGCGGCACUCUGGGCCGAUACUGACACUGAGGAGCGAAAGCGUGAGGAGCGAACAGG
rnacentral:rRNA from 1 species